AGGUUGGAGGUGGAAGUGCAGCAAUGCAUGGAGCUGACCAAUACUAAUCGGUCGAGGGCUUAUCCUAUA
rnacentral:rRNA from 1 species